GAUGAACGCUGGCGGCGUGCUUAACACAUGCAAGUCGAACGGAAAGGCUCCUGCUUGCAGGGGUACUAGAGUGGCGAACGGGUGAGUAACACGUGGGUGAUCUGCCCUGCACUUCGGGAUAAGCCUGGGAAACUGGGACUAAUACCGGCUAGGACGAUGGUUUGGAUGCGAUUGUGGAAAGUUUUGCGGGGUGGGUUGGGCUCGCGGCCUAUAAGCAUGUUGGUGGGGUAAUGGCAUACCAAGGCGUAGGCGGGUAGGCGACUUGGGAGGGUAUACGGCGACCAUGGUACUGAGGUACGGACCAGACUCCAACAUUAGGCAGCGGUGGGAAAUAUUGCACAGGGGUGGCGCGCGUGUGAAGACGAUGCUGCGUGGGGGAAGACGGCCUUGGGGUUGUAAACUCCUUUCGCUAGGGACGAAGCGCAAGUGACGGUACCUAGAGAAGAAGCACCGGCUAACUACGUG
rnacentral:rRNA from 1 species